CCUCACUUUGCCUCUGCCUCUUCUCUUACUGUCGAGAGCGCCUCUGCGUGUGAAUUUUACAGAAAACUUUGAUCUUCACAGCUUGAUGGAAUAAAGAAGUGCUCAAUAGCAGAGACCGUCUUGCGAUGGCAUCAACAUGUUGAGCGGCUGUCGCAAUCAGAAGAAAUAGCUUGAGACGCAAUCAGUCACUGACUUUCUCUGUCCAACAGACAAUCCUUAGAUCCCUAUGAGAUUUUUAUGAAACGUAAUGGUUUUGUCCAUGUCUUUCCUCAAGGUUAUCAGUAAUGUGUAGAUUCCUGAAUCACCAUAGGGCCGCUGUUUCGCCCAUGGAUAGAGUAAAUGAAAAAGAUGCUAUCAGAUCCAAACACUGGAUCACAUCAUGUGUGUUCAACGUGCAACAGUCUACAGUAUGGUGGCAGUAGUUAAUGUGAUUGACACAUCCUGUAAAACUACAGUAUAUCUAACAGACAUACUGAGAUAAUAUUGUCUUUUGAUAGCUGAAAAUUGCUUUUUAAGAAUAUGCAGGUUUUUAAAUGCAUAACAUGUCAAGUUUGUCGGAAAAAAAAUAAAUAAAACAAAAUAUGUUGA